AUUGAACGCUGGCGGCAGGCCUAACACAUGCAAGUCGAGCGCGCGGCGGACGGGUGAGCAUUGUCUGGGAGACUGCCCGCGGGAGGGGGAUAAAUACUCGAAACGGUAGCUAAUAUCGCAUACCAUCAGAUGUGCCCAGAUGGGAUUAGCUAGUAGGUGGGGUAACGGCGCACCUAGGCGACGAUCCCUAGCUGGUCUGAGAGGAUGACCAGCCACACUGGAACUGAGACACGGUCCAGACUCCUACGGGAGGCAGCAGUGGGGAAUAUUGCACAAUGGGCGCAAGCCUGAUACAGCCAUGCCGCGUGUGUGAAGAAGGCCUUCGGGUUGUAAAGCACUUUCAGCGGGGAGGCGUUACCCGCAGAAGAAGCACCGGCUAACUCCGUGCCAGCAGCCGCGGUAAUUC
rnacentral:rRNA from 1 species